UCUCUGGUGGUUACUGCUCUUGCGAGUAUCUCAGAUAUUUCCAAAAUGGUUGACUUGUAUGAGUGCCUGAUAUUUGUCACAAUUGAUUAUUUUUCUGUCAGUCCUAAGGUGUCCUGUCCCAAGUGAAACUGAUGGAAGCUGGUCCAGGUUGUUGAAAUCUCACAGACCCCCUCCGUCACCUAUGCUCUCCCAGGAUUCUCCGUCACAACCAGUGGUUCCUGCUGGUACUGGAUCUGCCAGCCCCCGGGGAAGGAGCAGCAGUGGGUCGGAAAACUAAGUGAUUCUGGAGUCACAAAAUGCAACCCAUCCUGCCUGAGCUGCAGCUCUGUCUCCAGAGGCACAUCCAAGAACCAGUUGUCCUACAGCUGAGCCCCGUUACUGCCAAAGACAUGGCUGUGUGUCACCGUGCAAGAUACACACAGGGAGGGGAAGAUGGUGUGAGCCCGAGGCAAACCUCCUCUGCAGGGUGGCCAGGGGGACUGGCUGCCGUGGGCGUUCAGGACCCACCGAGCACAGGGCUCAACCCAGGGCAGGUGCAAAGAGAGCCUGGGGAGGGAGUCCCCAUCAGAGCCUCAGAUUCCUUAUACUCAUUCACCCGCUGACCUUGAAACGCUGCAUGAGAAGGAAGUAAAAACUGAGGCAGGCUGGUAAACUGCUGGAGAAUUGAAGGCAUGUCCCCCUCCACUGCCCUCAAAACCCUUCAGCAAAGACUGGGCGACUCAUUGGUUCCAGGCAUUUAAUCUCUGUGCAUACAUUAGCUGAACACUGAAGUAACUCAGCAGAGACUCAAUGUCUACACACAGCAAAGAAGAAGGGCCUUACAAAAUUAGUUCAGGAAUGUCACCAAACAAAUAGCAACAACAACAUCAACAAAAGCAUCAACAACAAACCCUGAUUGGGGGAGGAUCCGAUUUCCAGAGUUGCCACAUUAUGAUAUUUAAAAUGCCCAGUUUUCAAAUUAAAAUUAUUGGACACAUUCAAAGACUCAUGAAUAUAUGACCCAUACACUGAGGGGGAAAAAGCAUUGAAUAGGAGCUAUCUGUGAGGAAGCCAGACACUAGACAUACUAGAUGAAGAUUCAAAAUCAUUCAUUUAAAAUAUGUUCAAAAACCCCAAAAGAACUCAUGUCUAACAAAUUAAAGGAGAACAUGAGAAUAAUGUUUUACUAAAUAGAGACUAUAAAGAAAGAGAGAAAUUUUUAAAACAAACCAAAUAGAAAUUCUGAAGUUGAAAACCACAAUAACUGAAAUGAAAACUUAACUAGCUUAAGAGCAUAUUUGACCCGGCAGAAGAAAGAUUCAGUGAACAUGAAAGUAGGUACUUGGGAUUAUCCAGUCUGAAGAGCAGAAAGAAGAAGGACAAAGACGAAUGCGUCGAUCCUCAGAGACUUGUGUGACACCAUCAGGGAUACAACACAAGCAUAAGGGAAGUCCCAGAGGGGAGGAGAGAGAGCAAGAUCAGAGUGAAUAUUUGGACAUAGAAUGGCUGAAAACUUCCCAACCAUGAUGAAAAAUCCACAUUAAUUCACAUGUCAAGAAGCUCAACAAAUUCGAAGAAAUAUCCCAAAGAGAUACAUACCUAGACACAUCGUAGUCAAACUGUCAAAAAAAGACAAAGGAACUUAGUCAUCCUGAUGAAGAGUGGUAUCUCUUUGUGAUUUUUGUUUGUGUUACCAUGAUAACUUGUGAUGUUCAACAUCUCAUCAUGUGCUUAUUGUCACUUGUACAUUUUCCCUGGAUAAAUGUCUGUUGAAACCCUUUG